GUAGGGAGCGAGCGUUGUCCGAAUUUACUGGGCGUAAAGCGCGCGUAGGCGGGCUUUUAAGUUGGGGGUGAAAUCCCGAGGCUCAACCUCGGAACUGCCCCCAAAACUGGGAGCCUUGAGGUAUGGAGAGGGAAGUGGAAUUCCUGGUGUAGCGGUGAAAUGCGUAGAUAUCAGGAGGAACACCUGUGGCGAAGGCGGCUUCCUGGCCAUAUCCUGACGCUGAGGUGCGAAAGCUAGGGGAGCGAACGGGAUUAGAUACCCUGGUAGUCCACGCAGUAAACGGUGAACACUAGGUGUAGCGGGUAUUGACCCCUGCUGUGCCGAAGCUAACGCAUUAAGUGUUCCGCCUGGGAAGUACGGCCGCAAGGCUA
rnacentral:rRNA from 1 species